UACAGGGGGUGCAAACGUUGCUCGGAAUUAUUGGGCGUAAAGCGCGCGUAGGCGGCCACUUAAGUCGGAUGUGAAAGCCCCUGGCUCAACUGGGGAAGUGCACCCGAAACUGAAUGGCUUGAGUGCGAAAGAGGGUCGCGGAAUUCCCGGUGUAGAGGUGAAAUUCGUAGAUAUCGGGAGGAACACCAGUGGCGAAGGCGGCGAUCUGGGAAGAUACUGACGCUGAGGUGCGAAAGCGUGGGGAGCAAACAGG
rnacentral:rRNA from 1 species